GUCCAUGUAGUGCAAUGGAUAACGCGUUGGACUUCGAAUCCAAAGGUUGUGGGUUCGAAUUCCACCUGGAUU